UACACACCGCCCGUCAAGUCAUGGGAGUUGGUUCCACCCGAAGGUGCUGCGCUAACCGCAAGGAGGCAGGCAACCACGGUGGGGUCAGCGACUGGGACU
rnacentral:rRNA from 1 species